UUUUUAACUGUGGGUAUUUCUCCAGCAGCUUGCAGCAACAGGUGGGGGAAGGGAGUCUUUCAAAGAAAACGGAAAAUGAUGGAAAAAUCUGAUACUUGGAUUUUCCAAGAUGAAUCGGGACAUCAUCUGCAGUAAUGUUCCAGUCUGUUGUGAAGAAGGAGUGAUCAGAAGAAGAUGAUCUAGGACAUAAGCAGCUGAAACAGGUUUCCUUCAUAGUAGCUGUGGGUGGAGUUGCUGCUCCUUUGCAUUCAAAAGAUUCAGUUUGAGGUGGUUCAGGUGUCUGAUCAGGAUGUCUCUGUGACCUCCUUGGUUUUCCAAGGCCAUCCCACAGGGAGGAGACUCCUGGUCAUAUCCAGAACAUACUAGAAGGACAAUAUAAUUCUUCACCCACAUAUGGAAAAAUAAAGUUUAUAAAAUUAAA